rnacentral:lncRNA from 1 species
GGCAUCCCAAGCAUCCAGAUGGCCCCUGGCAGGCGUGGGCUUCAUCCAGUCUUUAUGACUGCACUCUUGCCAGGUGGUGAGAAUCAGCAAAAGAAUCACUCCAGGCUCUUGUAGCCUUGGGCAGGCCUCAGGUCUCUGCUCAGAACACACGCUAAUAAUAUUCUUGAUGAUUAGCAGAAACCCAUGGGUUUUGUGCAACUUCACCAAAGUCCAGCCAGGAUGCUGAGUGAGUAUGGCUAAAGA